UGUGAUCUCAAAUCAGGUAGGACUACCCGCUGAACUUAAGCAUAUCAAUAAGCGGAGGAAAAGAAACUAACAAGGAUUCCCCUAGUAACUGCGAGUGAAGCGGGAAAAGCUCAAAUUUAAAAUCUGGCAGUCUUUUGGCUGUCCGAGUUGUAAUCUAGAGAAGUGUUAUCCGCGCUGGACCGUGUACAAGUCUCCUGGAAUGGAGCAUCAUAGAGGGUGAGAAUCCCGUCUUUGACAUGGACUGCCAGGGCUUUGUGAUGCGCUCUCAAAGAGUCGAGUUGUUUGGGAAUGCAGCUCAAAAUGGGUGGUAAAUUCCAUCUAAAGCUAAAUAUUGGCGAGAGACCGAUAGCGAACAAGUACCGUGAGGGAAAGAUGAAAAGAACUUUGGAAAGAGAGUUAAACAGUACGUGAAAUUGCUGAAAGGGAAACGCUUGAAGUCAGUCGCGUUGUCCAGGGAUCAACCUUGCUUUUGCUUGGUGCAUUUUCUGGUUUGACGGGUCAGCAUCAAUUUUGACCAUAUAUUGGAAAAAGAUUGAGGGAAUGUGGCAUCCUUGGAUGUGUUAUAGCCCUUGGUCACAUACAAUGGUUGGGAUUGAGGAACUCAGCACGCCGCAAGGCCGGG
rnacentral:rRNA from 2 species